AGAGUUUGAUCCUGGCUCAGAACGAACGCUAGCGGUGCGCUUUAAGCAUGCAAGUCGAGCGGGGCAGCAAUGCCCAGCGGCAAACGGGUGAGUAACACGUGACUACCUAUCAAUCAGUGGGGGAUAGCCUAGGGAAACUUAGGGUAAUCCCGCAUAAUCCCGUGAGGGGAAAGCUUUUGCGCUGAUUGCCGGGGUCGCGGCCCAUUAGCUAGUUGGCGGGGUAACGGCCCACCAAGGCGAUGAUGGGUAGCCGGACUGAGAGGUUGGCCGGCCACAUUGGGACUGAGACACGGCCCAGACUCCUACGGGAGGCAGCAGCUAGGAAUUUUCCGCAAUGGGCGAAAGCCUGACGGAGCGACACCGCGUGAAUGAUGAAUGCCUUAUGGGUUGUAAAGUUCUUUUGGCUGGGAAGAGGGCUCCUCUUUAGGGGGAGCUGACGUACCAGCAG
rnacentral:rRNA from 1 species